UUUGAUAGCCCAUUACACCCGCUAUCCGCCCGGGUACUACGAACACUAGCUUAAAACCCAAAGGACUUGGCGGUGCUUUAGAUCCACCUAGAGGAGCCUGUUCUAGAACCGAUAACCCCCGUUAAACCUCACCCUCUCUUGUUCUUCCCGCCUAUAUACCGCCGUCGUCAGCUUACCCUGUGAAGGAAUCACAGUAAGCAAAACUAGUACAACUCAAAACGCCAGGUCGAGGUGUAGCAUAUGAGAGGGGAAGAAAUGGGCUACAUUCCCUACCGCAGGGAAUACGAACAAUGCAAUGAAACAUACAUUAGAAGGAGGAUUUAGCAGUAAGCAGAAAAUAGAGCG
rnacentral:rRNA from 1 species